CGAGCCCGGAGAGCCUGGGCUGCAGGGGAGGGCGCCACAGGUGAGGACACAGCUCCGUGGGCACCAGGCAAGGUCCCAAAGCAGAUCCGCAGCCGGUCAGAGGAGCGCACAUGGCUCCACGAGAUGUGACUAUUCCUAUCUGCUGGAGAACAGCCGUCCAGGGCCACCCCACGUCCUUCAAGGGGACUCUGAGACACUCUGGGCCGGUGGGACCUUCAGCAGCAUCUGGACUUUGGCUGCCUCACAGGCGGAUGUCACCCACCCCUUGGGACUUCGCCAUGGGUCGCUAGCCCAGACCCUCCCCUUGGUUCCGGUGGUUCCAUUUCUGCCCCUUUGCUGCUGGCCCCCUUCUGAGGAUGCCCGUGCAUCUCCAGGACCACUGCUCCAGUCCUUGGUGUAGAUCAAAGCUGGCCUUCACACGCGGCCUGAAAAUGUAGAGUGGCCGCCUUCUGGGCUGGGCUGCCACCUCCACCACAUCACCCGUGACAGAAGCCCCGUGUUUUUCGGUAACCACGUUCCACGAACACCUCCCGACUGCCUUCCAGAACACACAAAGAUCAACGAAGCUCAGAAUCCAGUCCCGACGUCAUUUCAUGAAGAGCAGGUAGUCCAUCAAAGGGAUGGGCCCCAUGAGUGAAGGGCUGAGACCCCACCAUGGUGUGAGGCGUCCCAGGCACUCCCGUCACGGCCCAAACCAGGCUGCAGGCUCCAUCCCCAUGGGGCAGGCACAGAGGAGGCGAUUCAUGUGGACACAGGGACACCUGUGGACGCCCUGGCUCGGCCGCUUACCGCCGUGUGUUUGUGGCCAGGUCCCUGCUCCUGAGCCUCAGUUUCCACACCUGUGAGAUGGGUCUGAGGUGGAAUCGCCAACCAGCUGAGGAUGCGCAGCCACAGACCACCUUCCAGAAAUCUCCAAAAGGCUUUCCAAAACAGGAAAACAAGGAAGGCUGCCAUCAGCAGGAAUUCCAGGGCUUUCAGAAUGAGGCUGUCAGGAGUGAAGGGAGCUGUGCUCCACAUGCAGGGCAGUGGCCAGGGCUGCCAGGCCUUGUUUAUCUGGGAGCGCCAGGCUGCCUGCCUGCACCUGGUCUGGGCACCUGAAGGCAGAGCUGCUCCUGCUUAGGGUCUGUGGCAACUGUCCUCCUCAGUGGGUGCUGCUGGGAGCUCCUCUGAUUCCUGGUGGGCGGCUUCUGGCCUCGCCUCUUCACCCACGGUGUAGGGUGUGGGAUGGAGAUGCAGGGCCUCUGCUCUCCUUCUCCCCUCCCCCAAGCAGCCUGGGUUGUACCUCCACUAAUAAACACCAACACCCGCGCCCAGGGUGGGUUCGGCCACGGGGCGAUUCUCUGAGUGA
rnacentral:lncRNA from 1 species